AACGAACGCUGGCGGCAUGCCUAACACAUGCAAGUCGAACGAGACCUUCGGGUCUAGUGGCGCAUGGGUGCGUAACGCGUGGGAACCUGCCCUUAGGUUCGGAAUAACUCCCCGAAAGGGGUGCUAAUACCGGAUAAUGUCUUCGGACCAAAGAUUUAUCGCCUUUGGAUGGGCCCGCGUUGGAUUAGCUAGUUGGUAGGGUAAAAGCCUACCAAGGCGACGAUCCAUAGCUGGUCUGAGAGGAUGAUCAGCCACACUGGGACUGAGACACGGCCCAGACUCCUACGGGAGGCAGCAGUGGGGAAUAUUGGACAAUGGGCGAAAGCCUGACCCAGCAAUGCCGCGUGAGUGAUGAAGGCCUUAGGGUUGUAAAGCUCUUUUACCCGGGAUGAUAAUGACAGUACCGGGAGAAUAAGCUCCGGCUAACUCCGUG
rnacentral:rRNA from 1 species